rnacentral:rRNA from 1 species
UAGAGACUCAGAGCUGCAUAUCAAUAAGCGGAGGAAAAGAAACUAACUAGGAUUCCCUCAGUAACGGCGAGUGAAGCGGGAAGAGCUCAAAUUUGAAAUCUUCAAGGUUCUACCUUGACGAAUUGUAGUUUAAAGAAGUGUUUUCUGUUGGAGGUUUUGGUAAAAGUUCUUUGGAAUAGGACAUCAUAGAGGGUGAGAAUCCCGUAUUUGACCAUUUACUUUCAGCUGUGUGAUACACUUUCAAAGAGUCGGAUUGUUUGGGAAUGCAGUCCAAAAUGGGUGGUAAAUUUCAUCUAAAGCUAAAUAUUGGCGAGAGACCGAUAGCGAACGAGUACCGUGAGGGAAAGAUGAAAAGAACUUUGAAAAGAGAGUUAAACAGUACGUGAAAUUGUCAAAAGGGAAGCGUUUGACACCAGUGUUGUUUUUCCGAAAAUCAAUUACGAAUGUUUUGUUUUUGAGGAGUUAUGACUUCAUCGGCUUGCUUCUCUCUUUACGAAACUUUCUUAAUGCACUUUUCGGUUAACAAGUCAACAUCAAUUUCUUUUGUUGUAAAAGGGUUUGAGGAAGGUGGCUUUCUUUUCGGAGAAAGUGUUUAUAGCCUUGUGCCUCUGCAAUCGGAGAGAUUGAGGUCUGCAGCGUAGAUCCUUCGGGGUUAGAUACGUUUGUGCUAAGUUAUAGCUUUUCAUAGACAACUUGUUGACUAUGUUUAGUCUUGUAGCUUACUCGCUGACGCUAUUUUACCUACGCUUAGGAUGUUGAUGUGAUACUGCGAGCA